GACGAACGCUGGCGGCGUGCUUAACACAUGCAAGUCGAACGGAAAGGCCUGCUUUCCCUUGUGGAUUGCGGGUACUCGGGUGGCGAACGGGUGAGUAACACGUGAGUUAUCUGCCCCCAACUUGGGUAUAAGCUUGGGAAACUGGGUCUAAUUCCCGAUAGGACUGCAGGGUGGAGCCUGUUGUGGAAAACGAUUUUCUAUUGGUUGGGUAUGAGGUAGAGGCCUAUCAGCUUGUUGGUGGGGUAAUGGCCUACUAAGGCGGCGACGGGUAGCCGGACUGAGAGGGUGGACGGCCGCAUUGGGGAGGGGACGCGGCCCAGACUCCUACGGGAGGCAGCAGUGGGGUAUAUUGGACAACAGGGGGGAGUCUGGUGCAGCGACGGCGCGUGGGAGAUGACGGCCUUCGGGGUGUAAGCUGCUUUCGGGCGUGAGAAAGCCACCUGGUUGGAAGGGUGGUGACGGUAGUGGUAGAAGAAGCACCGGCUAACUACGUG
rnacentral:rRNA from 1 species